rnacentral:misc_RNA from 2 species
UGGAAGUAAAAGUCGUAACAAGGUUUCCGUAGGUGAACCUGCGGAAGGAUCAUUACAGUAUUCUUUUUGCCAGCGCUUAAUUGCGCGGCGAAAAAACCUUACACACAGUGUUUUUUGUUAUUACAAGAACUUUUGCUUUGGUCUGGACUAGAAAUAGUUUGGGCCAGAGGUUUACUGAACUAAACUUCAAUAUUUAUAUUGAAUUGUUAUUUAUUUAAUUGUCAAUUUGUUGAUUAAAUUCAAAAAAUCUUCAAAACUUUCAACAACGGAUCUCUUGGUUCUCGCAUCGAUGAAGAACGCAGCGAAAUGCGAUAAGUAAUAUGAAUUGCAGAUUUUCGUGAAUCAUCGAAUCUUUGAACGCACAUUGCGCCCUCUGGUAUUCCAGAGGGCAUGCCUGUUUGAGCGUCAUUUCUCUCUCAAACCUUCGGGUUUGGUAUUGAGUGAUACUCUUAGUCGAACUAGGCGUUUGCUUGAAAUGUAUUGGCAUGAGUGGUACUGGAUAGUGCUAUAUGACUUUCAAUGUAUUAGGUUUAUCCAACUCGUUGAAUAGUUUAAUGGUAUAUUUCUCGGUAUUCUAGGCUCGGCCUUACAAUAUAACAAACAAGUUUGACCUCAAAUCAGGUAGGAUUACCCGCUGAACUUAAGCAUAUCAAUAAGCGGAGGAA